rnacentral:rRNA from 1 species
UACGAAGGGUGCAAGCGUUGUUCGGAAUUACUGGGCGUAAAGGGUUUGUAGGCUGGAAUAUAAGUCAAGUGUGAAAUCCCCGAGCUUAACUUGGGACGUGCAUUUGAAACUGUGUUUCUUGAGUAUCGUAGAGGGUGGUGGAAUUGUUGGUGUAGGAGUGACAUCCGUAGAGAUCAGCAGGAACAUCAGAGGCGAAGGCGACCACCUGGCCGAUUACUGACGCUGAGGAACGAAAGCGUGGGGAGCAAACAGG